UAGUUGAUUUCGUACUUAUGCUAUUUAUACUAAGUAGAAUUAUCAUGUAGCAGUAAGUUACCAUUUUACUUGCCUUUCGCUUUCCUACAUGUAUAGUCACUGACAUCUUUUGUAGCUUUGGGCCUUGUGGUGCAUUCACUGAAGUCAGUAAUUGCCCACUGGGAACUAUUUUUAAUAGUUCUCAUGCCCCCGUUUUGUGGUUUACUUUUCAGAGCCUUCGGCACCGGCGGAGGCACGGGAUCGCGGCAAGGGUGUCGCGUAGCUAGCUCGCGGAGAGUUCUUUUGCGAUAGGUGGUUACUCCUCUAUUUUAUAUUAUGUGAGAGAGGGAGAGAUUUUGUACAUUGUAUAGAGAGACCACCUUGUACUCCUUUUAGCACUUGUUAUGGGAUUCCUGUUGUAUUUACUUUAUGCUUUAUUUAGUGGAUUUGCAGCUUCACCCUUGCUUCUUGUUGUAGCAUUUAGAUAUUCUUUAUACUCUGAUACUCUUAGAUGCCUUUUGUUAUUGCUUUAUUAUUGUUGUUUUUAGACGCCUUAUACGUUUUAGACGUAUGGCGGGUCUGGGCACGUGCCGGGCGGGCUUCCGCUGGGUCCCGGGGCGUGACAGUCUGUUCGCUUGGUGGUGGUCGCUCCACCCAAGUAGUGAUUUUCGGAGUACUUCACGGUAGGGGUUAACGUAGCUACCCCGCAGACGGUCCCGGGUGAGUGUUUAGCCGACGUCUCCUCACCUGUUGGAUUUGGUUGUGAGUCGGGGCUUAACCUUCGGGUUAGCCGGAAUGAUUGGGUUAUGAGAUAUGGAUGGCAUGCAUCAUGAGCAUAGUAGUUGCUAGUACAUGUUUAUUGUACCCGUUUCUUAUAUCAUAUUGCCAAGGCAUAGUAGCAUGCUAAAUGUUUAUUAUAUUGCUAACCCUUCUACUUAUGCCUGCUUAGACCUAGCGGAAAAAUUGGCAGGGUCGGCAGUCGAACCCACUGGGAACUUUUGUUAGCUCUCAUCCCACUUUGUUGCAGGGCCUAGCACGAGCGGACCGGUCGAGGAUCGCGGUAAGGUUAUUGUAACAUAUCACAUCCCUGACGAGUUAUACCGAACUUCCGUCAAAUUGACCAAAGUGUGGUGGCGGACGUGUUAGAAUGGUCCGUUGGCCAUUCCGAAUGUUUCAGAAUGUGUAAAAUGGGUGUUUGGAUAUGGGAGAGCAAGCUGGAAAAUUUUUAGCUCGUUUUAUACUGAAAAUGCUCUCGGGGUCCGGACCCCAUACACGAAAUUUCGUGGGAUGGUUGGCCCUGUAGUAUGAGGGGGUUGGAUGCAAUUGUGUGUGUGUGUGAGUGUUUAUAAGUGGAGGCUUGGUGGUUUUGCUCUCAUUUCCCUCACACCACUACCAAAGAGAAGUCUCUCUUUCUCUCUCUAAAACCCUUCACUCUCUCCCUCUCUUUUCUUCUCUUACUAGGGUUUGAUCCAAAAGAGAAGGUUGGUGGAGAAGAAGGCUUGCUAGAGGUGAAGCUUGGUUUGUGCAAGGGGUUUUGGAGAAAGCUUGGACUCAAGGUGAGUUUUGGGGGCUUUAAGCUAGGGUUUGGUUGUGUUUCCUUCUAGUAAGUGUUUCUAGAAGUUGUAAUGGUGGAUUGGUUCUUGAAUAUCCAUGAUUUAGUGGGUAUUUGAAAAUAGUGGAAACCCUAGGGUUCAUAUUAGGGUUUUGGAAAUUAUGAGGUCUAAGUUGGGAUUGAUCUCUUGUAGCCCUAAUUGGUGGAUAGUCUGACGCGUUUGAAGACUCAGAUUGGAGUUCCGACGGAUCUACGUUGAGAUUUUAGAGAAAAACCUCUUUUCGGCUUCGUUUGCCGAGGGUCACAGAAAUAGGUUGCAAGGUGCCGAACUUCUAAAAUUAUGAAGAUCCGGUGUAUGUUGGUUUGGAAAGCCAUUUGAAUGGCUCCGGUGAGGUUCCGGUGAAAUUCAGAAGCAUUCGGGCGUUUUCGGAGCGCGUAGGCGCGAAAACGGUACCCGAAAGCUAUGUUGGACCAUGAACUUAAUCCGACAUUAACGUAGAUGAAAAGAUGAUGAAAACACGCUCGAAAACAUGUUUUAGGAGUCUCGGUGCAAUUUGAGACGAAUCGGAGACUCACGGAGCGAAAACGAGCGAAAACGGACCAAAAUUGGCGAAAAUGUUGAAAUUUUGGCUAAGUUUGAAAAUGCUGAUUUUCUGGACCUAUGGGGUCCGGACUGUAAUGUACCGAAAAUUCGGAAAAUAAAUAUCGAACUUUAGUCAAGUUGACCAAAGUGCGAGGAUGGUACACUUCGGAAAGUCCGAAGGUGUUAAAAUGAUCAAAAGUGAGUUACGGGAGGUUUUCGAGAGCUAAGGGAUCAAAUUCUGCAAAACUGCAGAUUUUGAGCUCUCGGGGACCGAUCCCUGGUGGGAGAGACCGGUCCCCGAACGCGUAUGGAAUGAGACAGCCGAAAAAUCGGCUAAGUCCUGAGAAAUCAGCUCUCGGGAACCGGUCCCUGCCUGAGAGACCGGUCCCCGAGAGACCGGUCCCACCAGAGAGAGACCGGUCGCAUUGCGCGCAGCAGCUUUGGCUGCGUUGGGAGAGCUCUCGGAGACCGGUCCCUAGUCGGGGAGACCGGUCCCCGAGCCCGAAAUCUGCCCAGUUCGGGCAGUGUAUUUAAGUGAAAGAUGAGGGGUUUAUUAGCAUUUUUGCAGCCCAAUGGUUAUGUAUGAGGGACAUGAGGGCUUUUCUCUCAUUUCACUCCCUCUCCCACUCUCAUCUCUCUUUCUCUCUCUAGAAAACAAAGAAGGAGAAGAAAAAGAGAAGGAAAAGAAGGAAAAGAAGAAGAAGGAAGUGGAGAAGAAGCUAUUGGAGUGAAGCAACUUUAUCUUUUUCCUCUCGAGGGCAAGAAAGGAGCAAGCUUAGAGGUAAGCUUUGCCUCUUCUCAUGUUAAACUCCAAACUAGGGUUUGGAUUAGAGCAAAGAUGGGUUUUACGGAACUAUUUGAGUAUUUGAACCUUUUCUUUUGCUUCUUUUGAGAUCAAGGCCAUGGAAAUAGUGAAGCUUGAGGUGAGCUUCAUCACCUCUCAUGGUGAAACCCUAAGUAGGGUUUUGAUUUGUCUAUGGAUGGUUCUAAUGGACUUUUUAGAGUAGAAUGAAGCUACUUUUGCUUCUCUUUGAGAUCAAACCCUAGGUUUGAUGAAUGCUAUGGAGCUAGGGCACCAAAUUGGGGCUUUUGCUCAUGGGGAUUUCUAAGUGCAAUUGACCCUCUAGAAACCUAAUUGGGGGUAUUUCCGACGCGUUGGUGCGCUCGGAUUAACGUUACGAAAAGUCUAUAGAAAGAUAUGGGCAAAAUGGCCUAAGUUGGCUUCGUUUUGUCGCAGGUGAAGAACGAGGAGCUUAUAAAUCUCAAGAAAAUCGUCGGAGCAUCUAAAUAGACCUACGAGGUGGGUGGUGCUUCUCAAACUCAUUGAACUUCUCUCUAUGCCUAAUGUGUCAUUCAUUUGAGCAUGUAUAUAUAUUGUUGCAUGCAUUUUAGGGUAAAGUAAUGAUGAAAAUGUAAUGAUGCAUGAUUGUGAGUACAACUUGCAUAAUAUGAUGAAUGAGAACUAUGUAAACGUCAAAAACCCUAUGUGUAUGCAUGAGAGAAAAAUGAGCACCCAAAGUGAGCAAAAGAACAGAGUGACACAAUGACAUAGAUCCAGUGGCAUUCCAUAAAGCUAAUGUGAAAUGACACUAGAGAUAGUGUGAGGUAAAGAACCAAUGAAAUGUAAAGAAUGAUGAAAAUGACAAUGCUUAAAGUUAAAGUAAUGUGGGAAGUAAAGAACAUGAAGUGCUAGAGGUAGCCAAAAAUAAAGAAUUGUAAAGAAUGUGUUCGCAUGAGUUUGCAACAAAAAGUGAUGAAAGAACACUAGAGCUAGUGUAAAGUCAAGAUUGAACUUAUAAAUCCUUUGAGUUAAGGAUAUGAUCAUACUUGCUAUGAGUUCCGUGCUCGAGGGCGGUCGCUCCCCCUCGGGCGAUGCGCUCCGGAGUUAUGCAUCACGGGUUGGAGUAAACCCGAAGGACGGUCCUAGCGGGUGAGUUCCUGCGAUGAUGGACUUAAUGUGAAGCAAGUUAAUGUGGCGAAACCCCCGGGUUAGCCUUGAGAUUAAAGAAUAAAGAAUAAAGAACAAAGAGCAAAGAACAAAGAACAAAGAGUAACGUGAAAAGAACAAAGAAUUUGCAUAAUCUGCAUUUAUUUAAUGUUGAGCAUAUUUCUGCUUUAUUGUUCAGGCAUAUUAGCAUCAUGUAUAGAUUGGUUACUAUAUGCAGCUUAUUCUUUCUAUUAUGCCUGAGUUAGUCCUAGUGGGAAAGUCGGUGAUGUUGAGGCCGAACCCACUGGGAACUUUGUUGUAGUUCUCACCCCACUAUUUCCACAGAGCCGGGACCGAGCGAGCCGGCGAGCGACCGCGGUAAAGGUAUCGCACCGUAGUCAGAGGCCACCGGAGUUGGGUUACAUUUUGAUAGUAGCUACCCUAUGUUCAUCUUUUGUAUUUGAUGACUAGUAAUGUAAAGAAAAGAAUGUAAAGCUUAUCUUGAGGUAAAUUGUGAUGUAAGAAAGAAAUGAUGAAAUUAUGUAAUAAAAUGCAAAGAAUCCUAAAUGUAAGAAAUGGAUGCAAUGUAUAUGAUCUAAAAUGAAUCAUAUUACUUGUGUAGAAGUUUAGUUUUCCUUUCUUUCACUAAUGGCUAUUGCUUACCCUCGUGUAAGCCGUUUGUGUAUGUUUCCGCUAAUGCAUUUCUUAUUUGAAUUUGUACAUGUGAUGAGCCUUGGGCGGAUAGGGAAAACUUUGUCCGUUCGGCGUCUGUUUGACGUGCUCGGGUCGGGCCAAAUUGGUAUCGCUCCCGGGGCGUGACACGGACCCUGGCUUCAGGAUCCGGACCCUGAGCCUGAAAAAUGCCCAGAAACAGCAGGGACUAAUUGGUAAUUGUGGGUGCUUUGCUUUAGAAAAGGGGCCAACUCCUCUCUUCUUCUUCCUCAGCCAAAAAGCACCACACACACACACCUUGGUAGAGAGAGGAGCUCCUCCCUCUCUCUAGAUUUCUCCUCCAUCUCUCUAGAUCUAUCUCUCAAACUCGGAGGCUUGGAGGAGAAGGAUCUUGCGAACGCCUGGGAGGUGAUGGUUCAAGCUUUCGUGCGGCCGUUUGAGCGGCAUGCUCCCGUCUCGGCGUUCGCAAAUUGGUAAGCUUUUGGGAUUUGGUUUAAUCCUUAAUGCUUGGUGGUUUAAUAGUCCCUAGUGUAGUUUUAGCAUGCUUUCCCCAUGAGAUUUGGGUUAUUGGAGUUGAUACUAAAGCUAGGGCUCCAAAAUGGGGUUUUGCUAAAUAGUUGGGUUUGAUCUAGUUUAACCCUAUAUAAACCUAAUUGCUAGGUAUACGAACGCGUUGGCGAAAUCAGUUCGGCGAUUCGUCGAGCCGGUGCAAAGAUAUUGAAGAAACAGGCGAUUCGACAUUCGUUUCCGGCUGGAGGGCCGAGGCGGCGUCCAUAAAUCGCGGGAUCGGAUUCCGAGUGUCGUAACAAGAAACCGAAGACCUUUAAUUUCUGGAUCGUGGAUCGGAAGUUGUUCGGUGGUCGCGCGUGAAUUAAGUCGAGUCGAGCGGCGUGCGCCGCGGGAGGCCGAUUGCGAGUGACCACGAGCAAUCGGAACGCUAUAAAAGGUGGGUGGUGACCAUCCCGAAGCAGUUGAACUGCUCCCUAUGUCUAAGUAUUGUGGUUGAUCAACUCGCAUAUUGAGCAUGAUGCAUUAUAGGGUGCUUGAUUAGUUUUACAUGUUCUUGCAUGCUAAAGGUAGUAUUGUAUUACUCGUUUAACACUUGGGCCUUGUAUGCAUGAGAUUGAGAUAUGUUGAUUAGUAACACUAUAAUGAGAUGAUAAAUGUGAACUUGAUCCUCGGUAGACGAAGACCUAGUGGGUGUGUAAUUAGUGUAAUAGGAACACUUAAAUAAGAACGAGUGGCAUUUGGACUAGUGUAACUAUUAUCCAUAAUAAGGUAUUAAAUAGUUGCAUUUCCAUUAAUUCUUACAUGAUCCUUAGUAGUGUAGCAACAUAAGUUUGGCACUUGACUUAGGAUGCAUGAGAAUAGGGGAAUUGUGACCUAGAACCCUAUAGUGGUAAAGUAAAUGACGAACUUAACCUUGUGUUAACGAGAACCAAAGAACGAGUGACAUAACGGGCCGCUCUAAUAAAUUCGGCCUUCAAAAGAUUUUCUAUUUCAUUCUUAAUUUGGAGUACAAUACUCGGCUCGAACUUACGAGCCGGUUGUUUAAAAGGCUUAAACCCUUUUUUAAUGGGCAGCCUAUGCUCUACAAUUUCUCGACUUAACCCAGGCAUUUCCUCAUAGCUCCAGGCGAAGCAGUCCUUGUACUCCUUCAAUAGUUCUUUCAGCUCUUUCUGCUGUCGAGCCGAAAGCUUUGCACUUAUAUAUGUCGAUCUCUUAUCUUCGUCGGAUCCCAAAUUUACUUCGAUCAGCGGGUCUUGGGUCUCCAACUUCUUCUCACCGACUUUAAUAGGCGAUUCUUCUAGAUCCAAUUCUUUUGCUUGCCUAUCUAUUUCGUGUGAUUUGUCGGUUUUGAUGACCGACUUCAUCUGACUUUCUUUCUCGGCCUUGUAAACCGAAUCUUUUAUAACUCCUUCGGCUUUAUUAGCCGAAUUGUCAUGCGUUACCACAUCGGCUAUGGCAGCCGAAUCAUUCUCAUAGCCGAUCUUGUUGAUCGGCUUAUCCUGUCGAGGCUCUUGACAAGCCUCUAUUCUCAAUUUUUUGGACUCCAUUUUAACCACCUAGGUGGCUUCUCAUCAGCCACCGUGCCAUUGACAUCUUUGAAGAGGAUUAAUUGAACCCCCUCUUCUGUUACUCUAACAAACGAAAUUUGAUCUGGAUCAGCAUCGGCCCAGUUGGUGUGGCCGAUGUCCUCCAUGUUGACAUCUAUCAUUUGAGGCCGUCCUUCGGCCCGGAUUUCUUCUACCUUGUCUCCUAUCCAUUGGAACAGUUUCCCGUGAAGUGUAGAGGGUACACACUCAUUUGAGUGUAUCCAAUCCCGUCCAAGUAAUAAAUUGUAGUGGGUAUCUGCAUCCACCAUAAAAAAUGCAGUUUUCAAAGUUUUUGAGCCUACCGUAAGUUCGGUGGUGAGUACUCCUCGAGCUUGUUGACCGUUUCCAGUGAAAUCGGUCAUGACUGAGUCGGUGGGCUUCAACUCGUCCUCAUCUUUGCCCAGCUUCUUGAAAAAAGAAGUAGGCAUUACAUUGACCAUGGCACCACCAUCUACCAUAACUCGGCCUACUGGCCGACCUUCAAUUAAGGCCUUUAUAAAAAGAGGCCUUAUGAAUCUCGUCUGCAUAGCCGAUGGUUUCUCAAAAACCACUGCAUCGGCUGGUUGAACAUCUUCCAAUUGCAACUGGGCUACUUUAAGCCUAUCUUCCUCCUCUUCUCUGAACUCUUCAUACUCGAUAAACUCUGCCUUAAAAGAUUGAGGCAGAGCAUAUACCAUAUUCACCUCAACUGGCGAUUCUUCGGCCGACUUUCCUUUAAUCCUCUGUUUCUUUUCUUCCGACUCCUUGGCCGUUUCGGCUGAAGAGUCACAUUCCAUCCGAACCUCCUUUUCCUUAGGGGGCCAUAUUUCUCUCUUGAUCAUCGUUUCGAGGGAAGCUAUUUUGUCUUCUAACUCCCUCCUGCUCAUUUUUUCUUCUGACUCAGCCUCGGUUGGCUGUUCUACCCUUGACUUCAUCCGAGGGGCAAGCAAUGAGCCGCCUGCGUCGUGGUCAUUUCUCAUUGGGUGAAAAUGGUGUGACUGCUCAUCAGGGCGCCUCCAUACAUUGAGCCUUAUCCCUUUCACUUCUUCGUAGUGUUGUCUUGCCUCGGCUUGCAUCCUCUGCUGCCGACGCUUUUGAGUUUUCGUUAACAUCGGCCCCUGCCACCUAGCCGAUGGUUUAACCUCAACUUCGUGCCAUUCAUCCACUGGCACAUUCGUCGUUACUUUUACCGUUCUCAAAUGAUUUUUCAAAAUUUCCCUUCUUUCCCAAGGUCUCGGCCAGGCUGUAUGCCGAGUUCCUUGACUAAUCUCCGACCGAGGAAUUCUAUGUCUCCCUCGGUCAUUCCCUCAAAUUCCGGUUCUGGUCUCGGCCUCAUUUGAUGCUGCCAAUGUGGCCGAUAUCCAGGAAUCCUUGGCUUGGUGCCGAAAGGUGUACCCUGGUAAUCCCAUUGGCUUUGACGCUCGCCAUGCCUGUUGUUGUAAUAAUCAUGUAGAAUCUUCUGAAUCAACAUGUCUUGUUUGCGUUGAACCGAUUUGACUUGCGGUUCAGUGUCAUUGGAGGCCUCAUCUGAGCCUUCUUCUUCUUGGUCUUCACCAUCAGGAAUGUUAUCCUACUCCUCGGGGAAUGCCAUCAACUCAUUCCACUCGUUGCCUCUUUUCUUAGCAUUGACAAUGGCUUCCCAAUCUUUCUUCGUCAUUUCGGCCUUGCAUCUUAUGCAAAGCCGAAGAUAUUUUUUGGCAUGUGCCACGUUGUCUGCGGUCUUCUGGUUUGCAGUCUCUUUGCCUUUAACAUUCACCAUGUUGACCUGAAAAGGAAAUGAACUUUCGUUAAUUACCUUAUUUUCAUUUUCUUGGUCGGCUAAUAUGAGCCGACCCUCAUCUAUUUCUUCUUGGAUCUGCCUUUUCGCAGUCGCUUUUCCUUUUCCUUUCACGUUCACGGCGUUGACCUGUGAUGGAAAAGGAUUCUUAUCAAUUUCCAUAUUUUUGUUUUCUUGGUCGGUAAAGAUGAGCCGACCUUCGUUUAUCUCUUUUUGUAUCUGCCUCUUAAAGGCAGUGCAUUCACUAGUUUUAUGGCUCUGCGAGUAGUGCCACUUACAAUAUCUUCUGCGUUUUAGUUCUUCUACCGGAGGUAUAGUUUGACCCUCCUGUAGUUUAAUUCAUCCAUCCUUUAGCAACCGAUCAAAAAUCAAAUCGGUAUUUGCUAUAUCAAACGAAUAACUAAAUGCAGACACAUGUGCUUUCGCCUCUCUUGAUUUGGCGGGUUUUAACAAAGCACAUUUGUACGGUUGAUUAUUUCUCACCAUCUCGGCAGCACAGACUUCGGCUUCAUCAGCCGAAUCCUUAUUCUCUUCAGACGAAUUCGGCUCUUCAUGAGCCGAAGACUCUUCAAAGAAAGAGAUAUUUUUCUCCUUUUCUUUGGUCGAAUCUUUGUUUCGGCUCAAUCUGGGCCGAUCUUCAUUGUAACCUUUUCGAAAUUGCUCAUAUUGAGCAACUCAAACUCCCAAAUCAAAAAGAUUUGAAAAGAAUUUAUCCUCAAAAUGAUCUUUAAUUUUAAAAUGCAUGCCGUUGAAUGCCAUUUUGGCAAAUUCCGAUUCCGGCAUUCUUACGAAACAACGGCUUCGAGCUGUUUUGAAUCGGUUCAAAUAUUUAUCAACCGAUUCUCUUGUUCUUUGUUUGAAUUGAGCCAAAUCCGCAACUGACAGCUCUGGCUCCGUUCUAUAAAACUGUUCAUGAAAUUUACCUUCUAACUCGUCCUAAUCUCGGACAGAGUUAGCAGGUAAACUCGUGUACCAAGUGAAAGCCGUCUUAGUCAAUGAGGUAUUAAAUAACCUCAAUUUUAAAAACGGAUCUGCUGCGGCCUCACGGCACUGAGCUGUAAACCAUGCGACGUGCUCGACCGUAUUUUCAGUCUCGUCGCCAUAAAACUUGUCAAACUUCGACAUCUUCUAAUUUGCCGGCUAUGGGUGUUCUACAUCUAUAUUUGCAGGGUAUGGUGACUUGAAUACGGGCCGCAUUGCCGGCCUUGCGCCUAUUCCGAAAGUAUUCCGGAUGGCUUCUUCUAUUUGCGCAUAAAUCUCGUUAUUAAUCCCCUGUAAAGGGGCUUGCGCUGGUGCUGGAUUCGGCGGUUGUGGAACUCCGAUGUUUUGUACCACUGGAUUAACCCCUUGUACAUUUGGAGCCUGCCCCCUCGCCCCUGCAUUUUGAGGCUGGUACACUGCUACCGGAGGGGGUGGAGGUAACCCCCAAGCCACUUCUGGCUGUUGACCGGCAUUAACGACAGCCGGUCUAUAAGCCACUUGAUACGGUGCCCACUGGUACUGGGGCUGACCAUUUACCGGUGUCACAGGAUUUUGUAACACUGAUGUUAUAAUAGGCGCUUGAAGGCCUGUUAUCGGCUAUUCGUUCCGAUUUACAACUGCCCUAUUCGGGCGAUGUUCUCGUUAGAGGCUGUAAUUGCGGCCAAGACGGCAUCCAGCCGUGCAGUACUCGCAUGACUGUUUUGGUCCAAAACUUGCAGGACCCGAGUCAUUUGCUGUAGCACACUGGACCUUUGCAAAUUGCGAGGUUCGAGUGUUCGAUAUGUAUUCCGAACGUUUCCACACUUGGUGGAGGGCCGUAGAUGGUAUGCCGGCUUAAAAGUUCGAUCUCUAGAGUUUUGGCAAGUCCUGAGAGUUUUCACUCUCGGGGACCGGUCCCUGAUAUGAGAGACCGGUCCCCUCAGCACAGUGCUGCGAUAGGGCUUGAGGCAACCGAUCCCUGGCUGUGAGAGACUGGUUCACGAACGCUAGUUUUGCGGGACGAGCCGAGAGGCCGGUCCCUAGCAGGGAGAGACCGGUCCCUCAGCGCGUGAGCGGCCCAGACCGGGCAGUGCACAGAGUGGAUUUUUGAGGGGCCUAAGUGGAUUUUGUUACCUUACAGGCUUUAGGCAGCCUCUCUUCCCCCUCUCACUCUCAUUUUCUCUCCCUCACACUCUCCCUACACUUCUAGAGAGAGAAAAGAAAGGAGAAGAAGGAGAAAGAGAUGAGAGGAGCUUGCUUGGAGGCCUUGGAGCACAAUCUUCUUCCUCAUUUCUCACCUUUGGAGGCUUGGAGCUUGCUUUUGGAGCUUUGUGGUGGAUCAAUCUUCAACCCUAGAAGAUUUUGAGCUUGGAUUGGAGCAUCCUAGAGGUAAGUGGCAAGGUUCCUUCCUCUAGAUCUUAGUUUUGGGGCUUUUUGCUUGUUUAAACCCUAGAUUUUGGAUUUUAGGGUUAGAUUUGGGGAUUCUUGAUUUGAGGCUUCUUGAUCUCAUUGGAAUGGUUUGGAACCUUUAUAUAGGUUAGAUUGGAAGACCUCUACCUCCCAUUUGAAGAUUAAGAGAGGGUUUUUCACUUGAGGUGAGUUUUUCCCAACCCUAGCUUGAGAUGGUUAAUGAUCAACCUUGUGGUUGUUCGUUACGUUUGUUUGACCCUUGUUCCUACAUCUCUAGGGUGCUAGGAGGCUAGUCGACACCUUCGUCGGAGCUUACGAAGGAUCGCGAGUGUUUUGGUGGGUUUGGCUUCUUGAACACGGGGCAAAAUGGCCCCUAUGCUUUCUAUACUCGUCGUAAAGUAUUUCUAAGUGCAAAUCCAUGCUAUUUAUGAUUUAUAAGAAUUUUAGAACACUUAACAUGCAUGCCUUAUAUAUCAUAAAAUUUUCACUCUAUAUAGUAGAGUUAUAUGUGUUGGUAGCAUGCAUGAGAGGAGUGGUUCUUGUUGCGAGUUGGGAACUCAUUAUGUAUAAUGGAAAUGACUAGAAUUAUGCAUUAUAAACAUAAUUAUCAUACUUAGACUUGUUGAACAAAAGUGUCAUAAAGAGGCAUUUGAAACUAGUAAACUAUGAAACUGCAACAUGAUUACAUAGAGAUAGGCCUAUGAGAUAUGUGAUAUAUUCCAUGUAUUACUCAUGAGGACUUGGUACUUGUGACGGAUCGUAUCCAUGCUUGCGAUUGUGCUCAUUCGCACAUGCUUGUGAGGGUCGCUCCCUACAAGCCGGCACUCCGGAGUUGGCCAUCGCGAUAUGUUCGCCGUGCGAGAUUGGGCGCCGAAGUGGAUUGCCGUGGGAAAGGCUCAUUCCUAGGGUAGGGAUGUUGACUACCAUGGGGCCAUUAUGCACGGUAAAGCCAGACAGCCUUCGGGUGUGUCUUAUGCCAGACAGCCUUCGGGUGGGUCUUAUCAGAGUUGAACUUUAAACAGUUAAAGUAAACAAUGACACCUUUACUAUUUACAUUGUGGGUAUUGGGUUAGUUGCAUACUUAUGCAUUUGCAUGUUGGAUACUCUUGUGCACAUACUUGUAGUAGUUGUCUUCUUACUUAUGCAAGCCAUGCUAAGUAGAGACAUCAUGGAUGGAUAGUAUUCAUAUUUAUUUCCUAGUUGUUUUAUCACUUUGGCUUAUACUUGUACACUGACCCCCUUUUUGUUGUAGUUGGGCCUAGUGGCGCAUUUCCUUGAAGUCAGUAAUUGCCCACUGGGAACUAUUAUUCAAUAGUUCUCACGCCCCUGUUUCUAUGUUUUCUUUUUCAGAGCCUUCGGCACCGGCGGAGGCGCGGGAUCGCGACAAAGGUGUCGUGUAGCCAGCUCGGGAGAGAGUUCGUUUUGCGAUAGGUGGUUACUCCUUCUUUUGUUUAUGUUAGAGAGAGGGAGAGUUUUGGCACCAUAUAUAGAGGGACCACCUUGUAUUCAGAUUUGUACUUGCUUUGGGACUCCUUUUGUAUUAUCUUAUGUUUUACUUAGCGAAUCAUCACUUUUAUGAUCUUCUUCUUGUUGUAGCAUUUCGUAGUUACCUUGCUCUGGUACUCCUAGAUGCCUUCUCGUGUUGUUUUAUUUACUGCUUUAUUUUAGACGCCUUGUAUGUUUUAGACGUACGGCGGGUCUGGACACGCGCCGGGCGGGCUUCAGUGGGUCCCGGGGCGUAACAGAUUAGUUUGGUAUCAGAGACCUAGGGUUAAGUCUUAGUGGACCUAGCAAACCUUAGGCCGGUUGGACUAUAGGAAAUAGGCUCGUGAGAGACGAGGUCUACUUGACUUGUAAGCGAAAGUAUCUCAAUUGGGUAUUUUGGAUAACUCUAGAAAGUAGAGUUAAAUCGGAGUGUAUAGCUCCUAACUUCGCGGAGGGUUACGUUGGCGGCCGACAACGUAACAUCGGGAGUUAGUAGUGAAGCACACUUUCUUACUUUCGCCUAAUUUGGGUAUUAUCUUUGAGCGGGGAUGCGAUAGCGUGGGUUUUUGCUAACUUACGCUUUUAUGAUGUUGUAGUGCGAUGCCGAUCACACGCUCCCAAUCUGCCGGGGCGGAUAAUGCGGCAAACUUUGAGGAGGUCGAGACCUCCGCUACCUCCGGAUCGAGCGAGGUCCGUGAGUUGAGGGGCCAGAUUGCGGCCCUCACUGAUUUAGUCACUCAGCAGGCGGAGGCAGCCCGACAGCAGACUGAAGCGGCGCGCCGACAGGAGGCGCGGAUGAAGCGCCUGGAGGACCUUUUACUGCAGCAGGCAGCAGCUUCUAGGGAGACUCAGGCCCCUACGCCGCCAGCACCAGUUGUGGACGUUGCUCCGAGAGCGCCAUCCCCCGCGCCCAGUUCUUCGCGUGCGGCGCCUGUGGCCGCGCCUCAGGGCGAGGGUUUGGUGGCACCCCCUGUUCAAGCGCCCCCGAUCGGAGCUGUUUUUCCCGUAUUAGCCGAGGGAGCAGAGCGGGACAGACUGAUGGAACGCCUUAAUGAGUUCAGGAGGUGCAGCCCCAGGAUUUUCGAUGGCGAGAAGGUCGACCACUGGAUCGUGGAAAAGUGGUUGAUGCACAUGGAGAAGCUCUUCCGCGACACCUUCGUGGAGGGAUCGAGUUUGGCUCGCCACACACCAUUUGGACGGCGAGGCCUACCGCUGGUGGUUGGAUCUCCAGGAGAACCCCAGCACUGAUUUGGCAGCUAUCACAUGGAAGAAGUUCAAGGAGCUUCUUUUGGCGCAUUACUUCCCGACUAGCGUCAAUCGGAAGAUGGAGCAGGAUCUGCGCAACUUGCGCCAAGGUGAUCGGACUGUAGCCGAGUACGAGCGGGAGUUUUCUCGGCUUCUUCACUGCGUGCCCUUCGUCGUGCGGGACGACGAGGAUAAGGCCCUCAUUUUCGAGCGAGGGUUGCGACUGUCGAUCUUCCGGUUUGUGCAAUCCUCUAACCUCCAAACCUACCGGAAGGUGGUGGAUCGCUCGCUCAUAGUGGAGAGCGGCGCAACAGAGGUCCAGGAGCGACGAGAGGCCAUGGACAAAGGCAAGGCCAAGAGGCCUGCGGCUGAGGGUGCGAGCCAGACGCACUCUAGGAGGCCGUCGAAGCAUCCUAGGAGCCAGCAGCAUGGACGCGGCUCAGAAGCACAGCGAGGAGGAUCUGACCGACGCCGGCCCUCCUCGUGUCUGAUCUAUGGUGGUCAUCAUCACCCACCGCAGUGCCCACAGCGGGUGGGUAGGUGCUUCCAGUGUGGCCAGGAGGGCCACGUGCGAACUGAGUGCCCGAGAGGUCCUUCACCGGCACCGUCGACUGCAUCGGCACUGGCUCUACCAGCCGCCAGCCACGGGACUCUGUCGACACAAUACCAGCCUGGGCGGCCACCCGUCCAGCGGCAGAGCGAGGGUUUUCGGCAGGCCCCGAGUGGGCGCAUGUAUGCCGCUCAGACUGAGGAGGCGGCAGCAGCCGAGGAUGUGGUUGCAGGUAUCAUUUUACUUGAUGGCAUUAGAGUUCCUGCUUUAUUUGAUAUCGGUGCAUCACAUUCAUUCAUAGAUCGGCUGUUUGCCGAGUUGCAUGGCAUUCCUUUGGUUUCUUUGUUGCAUCCGGGAUAUGUUGUAGUACCCGACUACACUCUGGAUAUUAGAGAGUAUUGCCCUAGUUGCCCUGUUCAGGUAGGAGAUUGAAUUAUGCCCGUAGAUUUACUAGCCCUGCGCAAGCUAGGGGAUUUCGAUGUGGUCUUGGGUAUGGAUUGGCUAACUAAGUAUUAUGCCACAAUAGAUUGCAAGAAUCGCACGGUUACCUUUAGAGAACCGGGGCAGAUUGAGGUUGUGUUUAGAGGAUGCCGGAGUUCGCUUUUCGCGAUGUCGAUCAGCUCGUCUCGAGCUAGGCAGCUGAUCAGCCGAGGAUGUGUAGCCUACUUGGCUAGUGUUGUGAUGAGGGGCGAGGAUGACACCUCUAGGAUCGAGGAUAUUCCGGUGGUGCGGGAGUUCCAGGAUGUGUUUCCAGCUGAGCUUCCGGGCAUGCCUCCUGAUAGGGAGAUUGAGUUUGUGGUAGAUCUCGUCCCUGAGACUACCCCAAUCUCGAAGGCACCCUAUAGGAUGGCACCGGCGGAACUGAAGGAGCUGAGGGCACAACUACAGGAUCUGUUGCACAAGGGCUUCAUUCGACCAAGCGUCUCGCCGUGGGGAGCGCCAGUUCUAUUCGUCAAAAAAAAGGACGGAUCACUUCGCCUAUGUGUGGACUAUCCUGAGCUCAAUAACGUCACGAUCAAGAACAAGUAUCCGUUGCCGAGGAUUGACGACUUGUUUGAUCAGCUUCAAGGAUCGAGUAUGUAUUCGAAGAUAGACUUGCAGUCGGGAUACCACCAGUUAAAGAUCAAACCCGAGGAUGUAUCGAAAACAGCUUUUAGAACACGGUAUGGACACUAUGAGUUCACAGUGAUGCCGUUUGGGCUUACUAAUGCCCCGGCAGCUUUUAUGGAUUUCAUGAACCGUGUUUUCAAGCCAUAUCUGGACAGGUUUGUCAUGGUGUUCAUCGACGACAUUUUGGUUUACUUCCGAAGUGAUGCGGAUCACGAGGAGCAUUUGAGACUUGUACUUCAAAUACUUCGGGAAAAUAAGCUUUAUGCCAAGCUGAAAAAGUGCGAAUUUUGGCUUCGAGAGGUAGCCUUCCUUGGACAUUUGAUAUCGAGAUCGGGUAUAGCCGUGGAUCCUAAGAAGAUUGAAGCAAUCAAGGAUUGGCCGAGACCGACGAGCGUCAUGGUGUAGCACACUGGACCUUUGCAAAUUGCGAGGUUCGAGUGUUCGAUUUGUAUUCCGAACUUUUCCACACUUGGUGGAGGGCCGUCGAUGGUAUACCGGCCUAAAAGUUCGAUCUCGAGAGUUUUGGCAGAGUCCUGAGAGUUUUUACUCUCGGGGACCGGUCCCUGAUAGGAGAGACCGGUCCCCCAGUGAACAGUGCUGCGCAGCCGGCGAGGCAACCGGUCCCUGGCAGUCGAGACCGGUCCCCGAGCGCGUCUGCGCGGGGAGAGACCGGUCCCGCGCAGGGAGAGACCGGUUCCCGAACGUUGGAUUUUCGGGGGCAGGCUGAGAGACCGGUCCCAGGUCGGGGAGACCGGUCCCUCUGGGCGAAAACUGCCCAGACCGGGCUGAUGUAAAUUUGAGUUUUUGAGGGGCCUAUGUGGAUUUUGUUACUUUAGAGGCUAUAAGCAGCCUCUCCUCCCCUCUCACUCUCAUUUUCUCUCCCUCACACUCUUCCUACACUUCUAGAGAGAGAAAGGGAAGGAGAAGAAGGAGAAGAAGAGGAGAAGGAGCUUGCUUGGAGGCCUUGGAGCAUCAUCUUCUUCCCCAUUUCUCACUUUGGUGGCUUUGAACUUGCGGUUGGAGCUUUGUGGAGGAUCAAACUUCAACCCUACUUGGUUUUGAGCUUGGAUUGGAGCUUCUCUUGAGGUUGGUAGCUUGUAAUCCCCAUUUGAUACAUGUUUUCCUAGGUUUUACUAGAUGAAACCCUAGAUUUUGGGAUUUAGGGUUUAUUUUGGGGGUUUUUGAAUUUGGGGGCUUUGGAACCAAAUUGAUGGGUUUAGAACCUUUGUUUAGGUUAGAUUGGAAGGACUCUAACUCCCAUUUGGAGAUCGUGAGAGCCUUCUUCGCAAUCGGUAAGUUUUCUCCAACCCUAGCUUGAGGAGCUUAAUGAUUGAGCUAUUUGCUCUUCGUUUCGUUUGGGUGACCCUAUUUUUGAUGUUUCUAGGGUACUAGGAAGCUUGUGGAUACCUUCGUUCGGCGAAACGAAGAAGUCGAUUUUGGUGGGUUUGACUUCAUGAAAAUGGGGCAAAAUGGCCCCUAUGCCUUCUAAACUUUUUGUAAAGUAUUUUUGAAUGCAAAUUCAUGCUAAACAUGAUUUAUAUGAAUUUUAGAACACUUAACAUGCAUGCCUCAUGUAUCGUAAAAUUUGUACUCCAUAUAGUAGAGCUAUAUGUGUAGAUUGCAUGCAUUGUGGAUAGUGCUUGGUUUUGCAAGUUGAGAACAUGUCUCCAUGCUAGAGUUGAGUGAAUUAUGCAUCAUGAACAUAUUAAUGCCAUGCUUGGAACUCGUUGAACAAAAGUGUCAUCAAGGGGCACUUGAAACUAGUAAACUAUUAAACUGCAACCUAGAGACAUGUUGAUAGGCCACUAUAUAUCUGCUACAUUCCAUGUUAGAGACAUGAUGACAUAGAGAUAGGCCUUUGAGAUACUUGAUAUAUUCCAUAUUGUUAGACAUGAGGACUUGGUUCUUGAGACGGAUCACGCUUGCUUGUCAUUUGUGCUCAUUCGCACAUGCUUGUGAGGGUCGCUCCCUACAAGCCGGCACUCCGGAGAUAGCCAUCGCGACACAUGCUCGCCGUGCGGGAUUGGGCGCCGAAGUGGAUUGCCGUGGGGGAGGCUCAUUCCUAGAGUGGGGAUGUUGACUACCACGGGGCCAUUAGGCACGGCGCAGGCCAGACAGCCUUCGGAUGGGUCUUAUAUGAUUGGGACUUAGUGACAGAACGUGCUAUAUUAACCUUAAAACAAUUAAAGUGGACUUGGACUAGAAUAGUAAACAAUGACAUCUUUACUAUUUUGCAUUGAGAACACUGUAUUGGUUGCAUUCCUACGCUUAUGCAUGUCAUACACAUCUAUGUACAUUCAUGAUAUAGUUGUUUUAUUACUUAUGCAAAUUAUGCUAAGUAGAGAUAUCAGGUUGUAGUAAGUAACACUUUUACUUACCUUUCGCUUUUCUACUUUUAUAGUCACUGAUAUCUUUUGUAGCUUUGGGCCUUGUGGUGCACUCACUGAAGUCAGUAAUUGCCCGCUGGGAACUAUUUUUAAUAGUUCUCACGCCCCUAUUUUAUGGUUUACUUUUCAGAGCCUUCGGCACCGGCGGAGGCACGGGAUCGCGGCAAGGGGAUCGCAUAGCUAGUUAGCGAGGAGCGAUUUUUUGCCUAGGUGGUUUACUCUUUCCUUUUGUAGUAGAGAGAGAGUGAGUGACUCUGUAUCUAUGUAUAGAGACCACCUAUGUACCUACUUUUAGCACUUGUAUUUGGGAUUUCCUAUUGUACUUACUUUAUGUCUUAUUUAGUGGAUUUAUAGUUUAUCCUUAUCCUUGGUUGUAGCAUUUAGACAUUUAUUAUGCUCUGAUACUCCUAGAUGUCUUUUAUUAUUGCUUUUAUUAUUGUUGUCUUUAGACGCCUUAUACGUUUUAGACGUAUGGCGGGUCUGGGCACGUGCCGGGCGGGUUUCCGCUGGGUCCCGGGGCGUGACAGAUUAAUUUGGUAUCAGAGCCUAGGGUUGAGUCUUAGGGGACCUAGCAAACCUUAGGCCGGUUGGACUAUAGGAAAUAGGCUCGUGAGAGACGAGGUCUACUUGACUUGUAGGCGAAAGUAUUUGAAUUAGGUAUCUUGGAUAACUCUAGAAAGUGGAGUUAAAUCGGAGUGUUUGACUUCUAACUUCGCGGAGCGUUACGUUGGCGGCCGACAACGUAACAUCGGGAGUUAGUAGUGUAGAACACUUCUUUACUUUCGCAUGAUUUGGGAUUGUCUUUUUAGCAGGGAUGCGAUAGCGUGAGUAUUUCUAACUUACGCUUUUAUGAUGUUGUAGUGACAAUGCCGAUUACUCGCUCCCAAUCUGCCGGGGCGGACAAUGCGGCAAACUUCGAGGAGGUCGAGACCUCCGCUACCUCCGGAUCCAGCGAGGUCCGUGAGUUGAGGGGCCAGCUUGCGGCCCUCACUGAUUUGGUCACUCAGCAGGCGGAGGCGGCCCGACAGCAGACUGAGGCGGCGCGCCGACAGGAGGCGCGGAUGAAGCGUCUGGAGGACCUACUAUUGCAGCAGGCGGCAGCUUCCAGGGAGACUCAGGCCCCUACACCGCCAGCACCAGUUGUGGACGUUGCACCGAGAGCGCCGUCCCCCGCGCCCAGUUCUUCGCGUGCGGCGCCUGCGGCCGCACCCCAGGAGGAGGUUUUGGUGGCACCACCUGUGCAGAGGCCCCCGGUUGGAGCAGCAUUCCCUACUUUGGUUGAGGGGGCGGAGCGAGAUAGACUGAUGGAGCGCCUCAAUGAGUUCAGGAGGUGCAGUCCCCGAGUCUUCGACGGCGAGAAGGUCGACCACUGGAUCGUGGAGAAGUGGUUGAUGCAUAUGGAGAAGCUCUUCCGCGACACCUUCGUGGAGGAGAGGGACAGAGUUUGGCUCGCCACUCACCACUUGGACGGCGAGGCCUACCGCUGGUGGUUGGAUUUUCAGGAGCACCCCAGCACUGACUUGGCAUCUAUCACUUGGACGAGGUUCAAGGAGCUUCUUCUGGCGCACUACUUCCCGACCAGCGUCAAGAGGAAGAUGGAGCAGGAUCUGCGCAGCUUGCGCCAGGGUGACAGGACUGUAGCCGAGUACGAGAGAGAGUUUUCUCGGCUUCUGCAUUGCGUGCCCUUCGUCGUGCGGGACGACGAGGACAAGGCCCGCAUCUUCGAGCGAGGGUUGCGACCGUCGAUCUUCCGGUUUGUGCAAUCCUCUAACCUCCAAACCUACCGGGAGGUGGUGGAUCGCGCGCUCAUCGUGGAGAGCGGCGCGGCAGAGGUCCAGGAGCAGCGAGAGGCUAGGGACAAGGGUAAGGCCAAGAGGCCUGCGGCUGAGGGUGCGAGCCAGACGCACUCUAGGAGGCCGCCGAAGCAUCCGAGGAGCCAGCAGCGUGGACGCGGCUCAGCAGCGCAUCGAGGAGGAUCCGAUCGGCGCCGGCCUUCCCCGUGUGUGAUCUGCGGUGGUCCCCAUUACCCACCGCAGUGUCCACAGCGGGCGGGCAGGUGUUUCCAGUGUGGCCAGGAGGGCCACGUGCGUACCGAGUGCCCGAGAGGUUCUUCACCGGCACCGUCGACUGCAUCGGCACCGGCUCUACCAGCCGUCAGCCACGGGACUCCGUCGACACAGUACCAGCCUGGGCGGCCACCCGUCCAGCGCCAGAGCGAGGGAUCUCGACAGGCCCCGAGUGGGCGCAUGUACGCCGCUCAGACCGAGGAGGCGGCAGCAGCCGAGGAUGUGGUUGCAGGUAUCAUUUUACUUGAUGGCAUUAGAGUUCGUGCUUUAUUUGAUACCGGUGCAUCGCAUUCAUUUAUAGAUCGGCUGUUUGCCGAGUUGCAUGGCAUCCCAUUGGUUCCUUUGUUGCAUACGGGACAUGUUGUUGUACCCGACCACGUUUUGGAUAUUAGGGAGUAUAGCCCCAGUUGCCCUGUUCGGGUAGGAGAUUGGAUCAUGCCUAUAGAUUUGCUAGCUUUGUGCAAGCUGGGGGAUUUUGAUGUGGUCUUGGGCAUGGAUUGGUUGACCAAGUAUUAUGCCACGAUUGAUUGCAAGAAUCGCACGGUUACUUUUAGAGAAUCGGGGCAGACUGAGGUGGUAUUUUGUGGAUGCCGGAGUUCGCUGUUUGCGAUGACGAUCAGCUCGUCUCGAGCUAGGCAGCUGAUCAGUAGAGGUUGCAUAGCCUAUUUGGCUAGUGUGGCGUUAAGGGGCGUGGAUGAUACCCCUAGGAUCGAGGUAUCCCGGUGGUGCGGGAGUUUCAGGAUGUGUUUCCAGCCGAGCUACCGGGUAUGCCUCCUGAUAGGGAGAUUGAAUUUGUGGUAGAUCUCGUCCCUGGGACUACCCCAAUCUCAAAGGCACCCUAUAGGAUGGCACCGGCAGAGCUGCGGGAGCUGAGGGCACAGCUGCAGGAUUUGUUGGACAAAGGCUUCAUUCGCCCGAGCGUCUCGCCUUGGGGAGCACCCGUUUUGUUCGUCAAUAAGAAAGACGGAUCACUUCGCCUUUGUGUGGAUUAUCGUGAACUCAACAAAGUCACAAUCAAGAACAAGUAUCCGUUGCCGAGGAUCGACGACUUGUUUGAUCAACUUCAGGGAUCAUGUGUGUAUUCCAAGAUAGACUUACAGUCUGGAUACCACCAAUUGAAGAUCAAACCCGAGGAUGUAUCGAAGACGGCUUUUAGAACACGGUAUGGACACUACGAGUUCACAGUUAUGCCGUUUGGGCUUACUAAUGCCCCGGCAGCUUUUAUGGAUCUGAUGAACCGUGUCUUUAAGCCUUAUCUGGAUAGGUUCGUCGUGGUGUUCAUCGAUGACAUUUUGGUCUACUCUCGAAGUGAUGCAGAUCACGAGGAGCAUUUGAGAAUUGUACUCCAAGUACUUCGGGAAAAGGAGCUUUAUGCCAAGUUGAAGAAAUGUGAAUUUUGGCUUCGAGAGGUAGCUUUCCUUGGACAUUUGAUUUCGGGAUCGGGUAUAGCCGUGGAUCCCAAGAAGAUUGAAGCAAUCAAGGAUUGGCCGAGACCGACGAGCGUCACGGAAAUACGGAGCUUCCUUGGAUUGGCAGGUUACUACCGGAGAUUUGUAGAGGGGUUUGCUAAACUGUCUACUCCCCUCACGAGGCUCACGCACAAAGGAGUCAAGUUCAUUUCGUUCUGGUGCCCAAAUGGCCCCUAUGCCUUCUAAACUUUUUGUAAAGUAUUUUUGAAUGUAAAUUCAUGCUAAAUAGGACUCAUGUGAAUUUUGGAACACUUAACAUGCAUGCUUCAUAUAUCGUAAAAUUUGUACUCCAUAUAGUAAAGCUAUAUGUGUAGAUUGCAUGCAUUGUGGAUAGUGCUUGGUUUUGCAAGUUGAGAACAUUGUCUCCAUGCUAGAGUUGGGUGAAUUAUGCAUCAUGAACAUAUUAAUGCCAUGCUUGGAACUCGUUGAACAAAAGUGUCAUUAAGGGGUACUUGAAACUAGUAAACUAUUAAACUGCAACGUAGAGACAUGUUGAUAGGCCACUAUAUAUCUGCUGCAUUCCAUGUUAGAGACAUGAUGACAUAGAGAUAGGCCUUUGAGAUACUUGAUAUAUUCCAUAUUGUUAGACAUGAGGACUUGGUUCUUGAGACGGAUCACGCUUGCUUGUCAUUUGUGCUCAUUCGCACAUGCUUGUGAGGGUCGCUCCCUACAAGCCGGCACUCCGGAGAUAGCCAUCGCGACACAUGCUCGCCGUGCGGGAUUGGGCGCCGAAGUGGAUUGCCGUGGGGGAGGCUCAUUCCUAGAGUGGGGAUGUUGACUACCACGGGGCCAUUAGGCACGGCGCAGGCCAGACAGCCUUCGGGUGGGUCUUAUAUGAUUGGGACUUAGUGACAGAACGUGCUAUGUGAACUUUAAAACUAUUAAAGUGGACUUGGACUAGAAUAGUAAACAAUGACAUCCCUACUAUUUUGCAUUGAGAACAUUGGAUUGGUUGCAUUCCUACGCUUAUGCAUGUCAUACCCAUCCAUGUACAUUCAUGAUAUAGUUGCUUUAUUACUUAUGCCAAUCAUGCUAAGUGGAGACUCUAUGUUAUAGUAAGUCACUUUAUGCUUACCUUUUUAUUAUUACAUUGUUAGUCACUGACCUCUUCUUGUAGCUUUUGGGCCUUGUGGCGCAGUUCACUGAAGUCAGUAAUUGCCCACUGGGAACUAUUUUUAAUAGUUCUCACGCCCCUGUUUUCUGGUUUUCUUUUCAGAGCCUUCGGCACCGGCGGAGGCACGGGAUCGCGGCAAGGGGAUCGCUUAGCUAGCUAGCGAGGAGCGGUUCUUUGCCUAGGUGGUUUGCUCUUUCUUUUUGUAGUUGGGAGAGUGAGAGAUUUCUGUAUCCAUGUAUAGAGACCACCUAUGUACCUACUUUUAGCACUUGCAUUUGGGAUUUCCUAUUGUAUUUACUUUAUGUCUUAUUUAGUGGAUUUACAGUUUAUCCUUAUCCUUGGUUGUAGCAUUUAGACAUUUAUUAUGCUCUGAUACUCCUAGAUGUCUUUUAUUAUUGCUUUCAUUAUUGUUGUUUUUAGACGCCUUAUACGUUUUAGACGUAUGGCGGGUCUGGGCACGCGCCGGGCGGGCUUCCGCUGGGUCCCGGGGCGUGACAGAUUAAUUUGGUAUCAGAGCCUAGGGUUGAGUCUUAGGGGACCUAGCAAACCUUAGGCCGGUUGGACUAUAGGAAAUAGGCUCGUGAGAGACGAGGUCUACUUGACUUGUAGGCGAAAGUAUUUGAAUUAGGUAUCUUGGAUAACUCUAGAAAGUGGAGUUAAAUCGGAGUGUUUGACUUCUAACUUCGCGGAGCGUUACGUUGGCGGCCGACAACGUAACAUCGGGAGUUAGUAGUGUAGAACACUUCUUUACUUUCGCAUGAUUUGGG
rnacentral:lncRNA from 1 species